rnacentral:snRNA from 1 species
AUAUACAAUAGAAAUAUUUAUUCUGAAUUGUAUAACAAUACAGAGAAGAUUAGCAUGGCCCCUGCGCAAGGAUGACAGGCAAAUUCGUGAAGCAUUCCAUAUUUUU